UACGGAGGGUGCAAGCGUUAUCCGGAUUCACUGGGUUUAAAGGGUGUGUAGGCGGGUCUGUAAGUCAGUGGUGAAAUCUCCGAGCUCAACUUGGAAACUGCCAUUGAUACUAUAGAUCUUGAAUUUUGUUGAGGUAGGCGGAAUAUGUCAUGUAGCGGUGAAAUGCAUAGAUAUGACAUAGAACACCGAUUGCGAAGGCAGCUUACUAAGCAAAUAUUGACGCUGAGGCACGAAAAGAGUGGGGAUCAAACAGG
rnacentral:rRNA from 1 species